CUAGUCUUCAUAAUGUUUAUCACAACUUGAAUAUACCAAUUAUUUGUGUUACCAUUUUAUGUCUAUUCUCCCAGGUAGAUUAAAUUCUAUAAAUGGUAAAUACUGUGUCUAGUUUUCUCCCCAUUUCUCCAGAACCAAGUUCCCCAUAUAGUUAAUGCUCAGUAAAUAUUUAAUGAAUAAGUUUAUAAACAAAUGUCACAGCGCAUUCAAGCAGUGUCUAAGCAGAGGCCAAAUAGUCAUCAUUCUGAAAUGCUGCAAAGAGAAACUUCUGCUGUGAAGUUUGGACUAGAUAAUUCUUAAAGCUCUAAGUAUUACUUUGAUUCCCUUUUAGAAUCUCAUUGUCCUAAUGUUAAAUAUAUAUCAUCAGUGCUCAAUGUUACAGCUUCAAACAUAGAAGAUACAAGAAGUAAAUGCUGAGAUUUCGCUAUUUGUUAACCUAUCAUGUGAUGAACCUAUACAAAUUGUGUAAAGCAAAUGUUUUCAGGCAUUGGAUGUCAAGCAGCACAGGACUAUCAACCUGAAGGAAAGAGAAUCACACAAGAUGAGCCUCAUAUUUAUCCUGGCUUUCCGCUUCGGAGCACUCUCUCAACUUCAACACAGAGAAGUGAAACCCAAGUGAAAGAGUAUUGCUAAACCAAGGAGGCAGACCUCAUGUUUGUUCAAGAGUACCCAAGAGAUAGGAUCUGUAAGAGGCACACAGGACCACAUUUGUUCUACCACGCUAUGCUGAAUAUGAGGCAAAAGUUAACACCUGGAAAUUUUGCUAUCCUGAAAUGAGGCAGUGCAUUGUGGAGAAAAAAAGAAUGGACUCUUCUAUUAAAUGAACGAUAAGAAAGAAGACUGCAAGUUGAGAAAUCACAUCUCCAAGACUCAAAGGGUCCUGUCAUGUGGAAAUGCAGAUCUGCUCUCCCAGCAAGCCUGGUUGGGCAUCCUCAAUCUUCUGCUUCCAAGCUGUGUGACCUCGGGUAAGUCACUUGGCAUCUCUGAGCCUCAGUCCCCAAUUGUGUGAUGGGAACAUAACAGUGCCUAAGUGAGGGAGUGAGUCUGGGGACUGAAG
rnacentral:lncRNA from 10 species